rnacentral:rRNA from 1 species
UGGGACGGGGCGCAGCAGGCGCGAAAACUCCGCAAUACACGAAAGUGUGACGGGGCCAUCCCGAGUGCCAUCCGCUGAGGAUGGCUUUUCCCCAGUGUAUAAAGCUGGGGGAAUAAGGAGAGGGCAAGCCUGGUGUCAGCCGCCGCGGUAAUACCAGCUCUCCGAGUGGUGGGGAUGCUUAUUGGGCCUAAAGCAUUCGUAGCCUGCUUGGCAAGUCCUCCGUUAAAUCCAACGAUUCAAUCGUUGGGCUGCGGGGGAUACUGUCCGGCUAGGGGGCGGGAGAGGCCGACGGUAUCCUCGGGGUAGGGGUGAAAUCCUAUAAUCCCGGGAGGACCACCAGUGGCGAAGGCUGUCGGCUAGAACGCGCUCGACGGUGAGGGAUGAAAGCUGGGGGAGCGAACCGGAUUAGAUACCCGGGUAGUCCCAGCUGUAAACGAUGCAGGCUAGGUGUUGGCGCGGCUACGUGCCGCUCCAGUGCCGCAGGGAAGCCGUUAAGCCUGCCGCCUGGGAAGUACGGUCGCAAGGCUGAAACUUAAAGGAAUUGGCGGGGGAGCACCACAAGGUGUGAAGCUUGCGGUUUAAUGGGAGUCAACGCCGGAAAUCUCACCGGGGGCGACAGCAGAAUGAAGGUCAGAUUGAAGGUCUUACCAGACAAGCUGAGAGGAGGUGCAGGGCCGUCGCCAGUUCGUGCCGUGAGGUGUCCUGUUAAGUCAGGCAACGAUCGAGACCCGCGUCCCCUGUUGCCACCGGCCUUGAGCCGAGCGCACUGGGGAGACUGCCGCCGAUAAGACGGAGGAAGGAGCGGGCCACGGCAGGUCAGUAUGCCCCGAAUCCCCCGGGCCACACGCGAGCUGCAAUGGCAGGUACAGAGGGUCCCGACCCCGAAAGGGGAAAGCAAUCCCGAAAGCCUGCCGUAGUUGGGAUCGAGGGUUGAAACUCACCCUCGUGAACAUGGAAUCCCUAGUAAUCGCGUGUCACUAUCGCGCGGUGAAUACGUCCCUGCUCCUUGCACGAAUUCGCCGA